rnacentral:rRNA from 1 species
GGUUAAGUGACUAAGCGUACACGGUGGAUGCCUAGGCAGUCAGAGGCGAUGAAGGGCGUGCUAAUCUGCGAAAAGCGUCGGUAAGGUGAUAUGAACCGUUAUAACCGGCGAUACCCGAAUGGGGAAACCCAGUGUGUUUCGACACACUAUCAUGUCAUGAAUACAUAGUGGCAUGAGGCGAACCGGGGGAACUGAAACAUCUAAGUACCCCGAGGAAAAGAAAUCAACCGAGAUUCCCCCAGUAGCGGCGAGCGAACGGGGAGGAGCCCAGAACCUGAAUCGGCUUGUGUGUUAGUGGAAGCGUCUGGAAAGUCGCGCAGCAAAGGGUGAUAGCCCCGUACACUAAAAUGCACAGGUCGUGAGUUCGAUGAGUAGGGCGGGACACGUGACAUCCUGUCUGAAUAUGGGGGGACCAUCCUCCAAGGCUAAAUACUCCUGACUGACCGAUAGUGAACCAGUACCGUGAGGGAAAGGCGAAAAGAACCCCGGCGAGGGGAGUGAAAUAGAACCUGAAACCGUGUACGUACAAGCAGUGGGAGCACCUUCGUGGUGUGACUGCGUACCUUUUGUAUAAUGGGUCAGCGACUUAUAUUUUGUAGCAAGGUUAACCGUAUAGGGGAGCCGUAGGGAAACCGAGUCUUAACUGGGCGAAUAGUUGCAAGGUAUAGACCCGAAACCCGGUGAUCUAGCCAUGGGCAGGUUGAAGGUUGGGUAACACUAACUGGAGGACCGAACCGACUAAUGUUGAAAAAUUAGCGGAUGACUUGUGGCUGGGGGUGAAAGGCCAAUCAAACCGGGAGAUAGCUGGUUCUCCCCGAAAGCUAUUUAGGUAGCGCCUCGUGAACUCAUCUUCGGGGGUAGAGCACUGUUUCGGCUAGGGGGCCAUCCCGGCUUACCAAACCGAUGCAAACUCCGAAUACCGAAGAAUGUUAUCACGGGAGACACACGGCGGGUGCUAACGUCCGUCGUGAAGAGGGAAACAACCCAGACCGCCAGCUAAGGUCCCAAAGUCAUGGUUAAGUGGGAAACGAUGUGGGAAGGCACAGACAGCCAGGAUGUUGGCUUAGAAGCAGCCAUCAUUUAAAGAAAGCGUAAUAGCUCACUGGUCGAGUCGGCCUGCGCGGAAGAUGUAACGGGGCUAAACCAUGCACCGAAGCUGCGGCAGCGACGCUUAGGCGUUGUUGGGUAGGGGAGCGUUCUGUAAGCCGUUGAAGGUGGCCUGUGAGGGUUGCUGGAGGUAUCAGAAGUGCGAAUGCUGACAUAAGUAACGAUAAAGCGGGUGAAAAGCCCGCUCGCCGGAAGACCAAGGGUUCCUGUCCAACGUUAAUCGGGGCAGGGUGAGUCGACCCCUAAGGCGAGGCUGAAAAGCGUAGUCGAUGGGAAACAGGUUAAUAUUCCUGUACUUGGUGUUACUGCGAAGGGGGGACGGAGAAGGCUAGGCUGGCCGGGCGACGGUUGUCCCGGUUUAAGCGUGUAGGGGGUGUGACCUGGUAAAUCCGGUUGCAUAUCAACCCUGAGGCGUGAUGACGAUGCACUACGGUGCAGAAGUAGUUGAUGCCCUGCUUCCAGGAAAAUCCUCUAAGCUCCAGGUAACAUUAAAUCGUACCCCAAACCGACACAGGUGGUCAGGUAGAGAAUACCAAGGCGCUUGAGAGAACUCGGGUGAAGGAACUAGGCAAAAUGGUGCCGUAACUUCGGGAGAAGGCACGCUGGCAUGUAGGUGAAGUCCCUUGCGGAUGGAGCUGAAGCCAGUCGAAGAUACCAGCUGGCUGCAACUGUUUAAUAAAAACACAGCACUGUGCAAACACGAAAGUGGACGUAUACGGUGUGACGCCUGCCCGGUGCUGGAAGGUUAAUUGAUGGGGUCAGCCGCAAGGCGAAGCUCUUGAUCGAAGCCCCAGUAAACGGCGGCCGUAACUAUAACGGUCCUAAGGUAGCGAAAUUCCUUGUCGGGUAAGUUCCGACCUGCACGAAUGGCGUAAUGAUGGCCAGGCUGUCUCCACCCGAGACUCAGUGAAAUUGAACUCGCUGUGAAGAUGCAGUGUACCCGCGGCAAGACGGAAAGACCCCGUGAACCUUUACUAUAGCUUGACACUGAACAUUGAGCCUUGAUGUGUAGGAUAGGUGGGAGGCUUUGAAGCGUGGACGCCAGUCUGCGUGGAGCCAUCCUUGAAAUACCACCCUUUAAUGUUUGAUGUUCUAACUCGGCCCCGUGAUCCGGGGUGAGGACAGUGUCUGGUGGGUAGUUUGACUGGGGCGGUCUCCUCCCAAAGAGUAACGGAGGAGCACGAAGGUUAGCUAAUCACGGUCGGACAUCGUGAGGUUAGUGCAAAGGCAUAAGCUAGCUUGACUGCGAGAGUGACGGCUCGAGCAGGUACGAAAGUAGGUCUUAGUGAUCCGGUGGUUCUGAAUGGAAGGGCCAUCGCUCAACGGAUAAAAGGUACUCCGGGGAUAACAGGCUGAUACCGCCCAAGAGUUCAUAUCGACGGCGGUGUUUGGCACCUCGAUGUCGGCUCAUCACAUCCUGGGGCUGAAGUAGGUCCCAAGGGUAUGGCUGUUCGCCAUUUAAAGUGGUACGCGAGCUGGGUUUAGAACGUCGUGAGACAGUUCGGUCCCUAUCUGCCGUGGGCGUUGGAAGAUUGAGAGGGGUUGCUCCUAGUACGAGAGGACCGGAGUGAACGCACCACUGGUGUUCGGGUUGUCAUGCCAAUGGCAUUGCCCGGUAGCUAAGUGCGGAAAAGAUAAGCGCUGAAAGCAUCUAAGCGCGAAACUUGCCUCAAGAUGAGUCUUCCCUGGGCCUUUAAGGUCCCUGAAGGAACGUUUAAGACUAAGACGUUGAUAGGCUGGGUGUGUAAGUGCAGCGAUGCAUUGAGCUAACCAGUACUAAUGAUCCGUGAGGCUUAACCUUACAACACCGAAGGUGUUUUA